rnacentral:lncRNA from 1 species
AAAUAGAGGGCCAGAUCUAGCCUGGGGUUUUGUUCUUAAGCCCUUUUCUAGGCAUUCUUGUGAAGGUCCAUUUUUUUGCCAAGCCUAGUUAGAACUUAGUUAGAAUGAGUGGAAGGGUUUUAGAUUUGUUAAGAUCAAUCUUUAUAAGGUUGAUUGAUGAGCAAAAUUCGCAGAAUGCUCCAUGAGUUGAGUUGAGGGAAAGCUGUAGAGAGAAUUAUUUGUCUCAUUUUGGUCUCCAUAACGAGAUCUAUAGUUUUGUAACCAAGAGUGGAGUUAAGAUUUUGAUUUGAGGUUGUCAAAAUGUGUAUAAAAAAAUAUUACAAAAAAUAAAAUAAAUGAAAAUACAAAAUAAUUGUAUAUUACACCAUCUAAUCAAUCAUAUAUGUAAGAGAGAUUGUAACAUCUUUCAAGUUUUUUGGUUUGAUAUUCUGGACGAAAAUGGUUUGCCGUUUAUUGAGAAAACGACUAACCGUUUUACUCCAGAGAGCAUGUUUUAUGCUCUAGAGAAAACAGUUCACCGAUUAUUGAGAAAACGGUUACCCGUUUAUGUACAGUGAGCAACGUAUUUUACAUUCUGGAAUAAAACGGCUCACCGUUUAUUGAGAAAACGGUUAACCGUUUAUUUCCAGAAAGGCGUCAACUAGAAAACGGUUAGCAAACUUGAAAAUUUCAAGUGUCAAACGUUGCAAAAUCAAACCAAAAAGAGUGUCUUUGAAGAAAUACCAUUUCGAAUGGUUGUAUUCUUUAUUAAACAUCUUCUUCAUAAUAAGAAAGAUAUACAAUAAGAGAUAUCAGAUUUUUUGUAGGUUUCAUAUAUGUUCUGGAAAUACAAUCUUAUUUGCUAGAGAUUGUGUUCAGGAUUUGAUAUAUCUUGGGGGUAAUUUGCCAUUAAAACUCUAUAGCAAACCAAGAUUGGUGAGGGCAAAUAAAACCUUAAAAGAAAGUGUGCAAACACGUCUCAAAUCCUAAGAACAUUCUUUGUUCUUUGCCUCCAUAUUCUUAUAAUUCACCAACAAUCUUUAAGGUUUUAAUUUGUGCAAGUGGAGGUUGAGAAGAGUUUGACAUCAUUUCUGAAUCCUAGUGUCCAUCUCGAUCGUUUUGAUGGAACUAAUUUCACUCGUUGGAAGGGAAAAUUGUUCUUUCUCCUUACUAUUCUUAAAGUGGCAUAUGUUCUUGAUUCGAAAUUAGAACCAUUUCCAGAACCAAGAGAAGAUGAUACCAAAGUUGUUAAGGCUGCAAGGAAACGUCGUGAAGAUGAUGAAUUGAUAUGCCGGGGUCACAUACUCAAUACGCUUUCUGACAGAUUAUAUGAUCUCUACAAUUCUAUGACUUCUCCGGUGGAAAUUUGGAAUGCUCUUGAAUACAAAUACAAAACGGAGAAAGAAGGUACUGACAAAUUCCUUGUAUCUAAAUAUUUUGAAUUUAUUAUGGUAGACACAAAAUCCAUUCUUGAUCAAAUACAUGAGUUACAAAUUAUUGUUGCUAAGUUUCGAGAGUUAAAAGUUGAAAUUUCUGAAUCAUUUCAAGUUGGGGCUAUUAUUGCUAAAUUGCCUCAAAGUUGGAAUGAUUAUAGAAAGAAACUCCUUCAUAGUAAAGAGAAUAUAACUUUAGAAGAAUUGCAAAAACGCUUGGUAAUUGAAGAAGAGACUAGGUCUCGCGAAUCCAAGGAUAAACAUGAUUCUACUAAAGUUAAUGUUGUUGAAGCUAGUAAAUUCUCAAAGAAUUUUAAAGUCAAGAAUGACAAGAAAUUCAAGAAGUCCAGCACACAAAAUUUUUCUGGAAAUUGUUUCUUUUGUGGUAAGAAAGGCCAUCGCCAAAGUGAUUGCAGAUUCAAGAAGAAAAAGGAAGAAGUGAAUUCCCAUAAAGCUAAUGUUAUUGAAAACAAAUCUGAAGAGAUUUGUGCUAUGGUUUCUGAAAUGCAAAUUGGCAUGAUUACCGAAACCAAUAUGGCUGAAACUAAGUCCUAUGAUUGGUGGCUCGAUUCGGGUGCAACAAUUCAUGUUUGUAAUGAUAAGAAAUUUUUCUUAUCAUACAAAGAAGAAACGGAAGGACAAAUGGUUCUCAUGGGGAACAAUAAUACAGCCAUAGUAGCAGGGAAAGGAGUAGUUGAGAUCAACUUCACUUCUGGAAAGAAAGUCACAUUGUAUAAUGUCUUUCAUGUACCUUCCGUUAGGAAGAAUCUUAUUUCUGCUAGUUGUAUGUGUAAGCAUGGGCUUAAGAUUGUGCUUGAGGGUAAUACUUGUAUUGCGUCAAAGAAUGGAUUAUUUGUUGGGAAAGGGUAUUCUUGUGAUGGAAUGUACAAACUCAGCAUUAAUAAUAAUAAUAUCAAAUUAGCUUAUAUUGUUGAGUCUUGUGAUGUUUGGCAUGCUAGAUUAGCACAUUUGAACUUUAGAUCUUUGAAAUACAUGUCUAAGCAUGGUUUGAUUAAUUGCAAUGAUGUUAAAGGUCAUAAGUGUGAAAUCUGCAUCCAAGCUAAAAUAACUAAGAAACAUUUUCCUAAAGCUGAACGAAAUACUCAAAUAUUGGAUUUGAUACAUACUGAUAUUUGUGAGUAUAAUGGCAUUUUAACAAGAUGAGGUAAGAGAUACUUCAUCACUUUUAUUGAUGAUUGUUCUAGAUACACUUAUGUGUAUUUACUUAGAACAAAAAGUGAAGCUUUUGAUAAAUUUAAAAUUUUCAAAGCUGAAGUUGAGAACCAAAAAGAUAAGAAAAUCAAAAUGGUUCAUAGUGAUAGAGGUGGUGAAUAUUUCUCAAUUGAAUUUAAUAAUUAUUGUGAGGAAGUUGGAAUUAUUCACCAAAGAUCAGCUCCAUUUAUUUCUCAACAAAAUGGUUUGGCUGAAAGGAAGAAUAGGAUCUUCACGGAUAUGAUAAAUUCCAUGAUCCUUAAUGCAAAACUACCAAAUAAUUUGUGGGGGAAAGCAUUACUCACUGCAUGUCAUAUUCAUAACAGAAUUACAUCUUUGAAAACACAUAUAUCUCCUUAUGAAAUUUGGAAAGGAAGAAAACCAAACUUGAUGUAUUUAAGGGUCUGGGGUUGUUUAGCUUUUUAUAAAAUACAUGACCCUAAGUCAUCAAAGUUGAGUGCUAGAGGUAUAAAAAGUGUUUUCGUAGGAUAUGCUGAAAAUUCCAAGGCUUAUAGGUUGUUAGAUUUAGAUUCUAAUGUGAUUGUGGAAUUUAGAGAUGUUGAAUUUAUUGAGAAUAAAUUUCAACAUGAUUCUAAUAUUGAAUCAGAAUCAAUUAUUGAUCAACCAUGUGUUAAUACUCCUGUUACCUCCACUAACAAUAAUAAAAGGAAAGAGUCUACGACAUCUUUCGAACUAAGGAGGAGUCAACGUGAAAAGAAAGAAAAGAGUUUAGCUCCGGAUUUUAUUUCAUCACAAGCACUACUNNNNNNNNNNNNNNNNNNNNNNNNNNNNNNNNNNNNNNNNNNNNNNNNNNNNNNNNNNNNNNNNNNNNNNNNNNNNNNNNNNNNNNNNNNNNNNNNNNNNAAAGAUCCAAAGACAUUUAGCGAGGCUAUGUCUUCUAGAGACGCUUCUUUUUGGAGAGAGGCGGUAAAUGAUGAAAUGGAUUCGAUUAUGUCGAAUCAAACAUGGGUCUUGGUUGAUCUUCCUCCAGGAUCUCAACCAAUUAGCAGCAAAUGGGUAUUUAGAAGAAAGUACAAUAAUGAUGGUUCUUUGCAAACUUUUAAGGCUAGAUUAGUAGCCAAAGGGUUUAAGCAAAGAAAUGGUAUUGACUAUUUCGAUACAUAUGCUCCGGUAGCUAGGUUAACUUCUAUAAGAGUGCUAUAUGCAAUUGCUUCAUUGAACAAUUUAUAUGUGCAUCAAAUGGAUGUUAAAACAGCUUUUCUUAAUGGUGAUCUUGAUGAAGAAAUCUAUAUGGAACAACCUGAGGGAUUUGUUUUGCCUGGAAAUGAGAAAAAGGUAUGCAAGUUAAUCAAAUCUCUUUAUGGCUUAAAGCAAGCACCAAAACAAUGGCAUGAGAAGUUUGAUUCGGUAAUUUUAUCACAUGGUUUUAAGCAUAAUAAUGCUGAUAAAUGUGUAUAUUUUAAAUAUACGAAUGAUUUUGGUGUGAUUAUAUGCUUGUAUGUUGAUGACUUGCUUAUCUUUGGAACAAAUAUGCAAGGAGUAGAUGAUACAAAGAAGUAUUUAACUUCACAAUUUAAGAUGAAAGAUCUUGGUGAAGUAGAUACUAUCUUAGGUAUCAAAGUGAAUAAACAUAGUGGGGGUUACUCGUUGUGUCAAUCUCAUUAUAUAGAGAAAGUACUUCUUAAAUUCAAUUAUUUGAAAUUUAAAGAAGCUAAUACCCCAUAUGAUUCUAGUAUUAAAUUACUAGAGAAUUCAAGCCGAAUAGUAGCUCAACUAGAAUAUGCUAGUGCAAUUGGUAGCUUGAUGUAUGCUAUGCAUUGUACAAGGCCUGAUAUAGCAUUUGCAGUUUGCAAAAUGUCAAGAUUCACGAGUAACCCUAGUGUUGAACACUGGAAAGCAAUUGGUAGGAUACUUGGUUAUCUUAAAAGGACCGUUAAUUUGGGUUUGUUUUAUAAUGAUUAUCCUAAAGUACUGGAAGGAUAUUCAGAUGCUAGUUGGGUAACCAAUACAAGAGACAAUAAAUCCACUUCUGGUUGGAUUUUUACAAUUGCUGGAGGAGCGAUUUCUUGGGCUUCAAAGAAACAAACGUGCAUAACUCAUUCAACAAUGGAAAGUGAGUUUAUAGCACUUGCAUCUGCAGGCAAAGAAGCAGAAUGGCUGAGAAAUUUGUUCUUUGAUAUAAUGUUGUGGCCACAACCGAUGCCAUCUAUUUCUUUGUACUGCGACAGUGAAGCUACAUUGUCUAGAGCUUAUAAUAAAGUGUAUAAUGGAAAGUCUAGACAUAUUAGCUUAAGACAUGAAUAUGUGAAACAAUUAAUAGCAGAUGGUGUUAUUAAUAUUGUUUAUGUUUGGACUAAUAAGAACCUAGCAGAUCCUUUAACAAAAGGUUUUUCAAGAGACUUAGUUAAGGAUACAUCUUAUGGAAUGGGAUUGAAACCUUUAUAUAAUAAAGUCACCAACGACGGUAACCCAACUAUGUAGUAGUUAUACCGCUACUCCAUAGUUAAAUGGGUAAUAACAAGUUGUUGUUAUGUGACUGGUUUGACACCGAGUAAUAAAUAAUCCCAUUCGAGAUAUUCGGUGCAAAUAGCUACGAGGUUGAGGUUGAGUAUUUACUCUUAAUGAAGUUCAAGUCUUUUAGUAGCUAAAGACAUGAUUUGAAACUUCACCUAAGUGAACAUAAGAAAUGGUGCCGUUUCUAACAAGGUCAUGGUUUAAUCUUGUAAAUGUUCAUGAAUCCAAGAUAGAGCACAAGGCCGGAAUAGUGCUAACUAUUGGAACACAACUUUGAAAUCUGGGAUAGCUUAUAUGUGAUGUAUCUUCGGUAUUUACUUAAGAGACAAAGUUUAAUGCUUAGCACACUAUUGUUUUGUAAAUGCUUUGAAAUACACUCACUAAUUAAAGGUUAAAAUCGAAAGAUACCUUUUUGUAUGUAUAAGUUUAUCAUUAAUAAAUCUGAAAAAUAUUACAAUCUAGUGGGGAUUGUAAGAGAGAUUGUAACAUCUUUCAAGUUUUUUGGUUUGAUAUUCUGGACGAAAAUGGUUUGCCGUUUAUUGAGAAAACGGCUAACCGUUUUACUCCAGAGAGCAUGUUUUAUGUUCUAGAGAAAACGGUUCACCAGUUAUUGAGAAAACGGUUACCCGUUUAUGUACAGUGAGCAACGUAUUUUACAUUCUGGAAUAAAACGGCUCACCGUUUAUUGAGAAAACGGUUAACCGUUUAUUUCCAGAAAGGCGUCAACUGGAAAACGGUUAGCAAACUUGAAAAUUUCAAGUGUCAAACGUUGCAAAAUCAAACCAAAAAGAGUGUCUUUGAAGAAAUACCAUUUCGAAUGGUUGUAUUCUUUAUUAAACAUCUUCUUCAUAAUAAGAAAGAUAUACAAUAAGAGAUAUAAGAUUUUUUGUAGGUUUCAUAUAUGUUCUGGAAAUACAAUCUUAUUUGCUAGAGAUUGUGUUCAGGAUUUGAUAUAUCUUGGGGGUAAUUUGCCAUUAAAACUCUAUAGCAAAUCAAGAUUGGUGAGGGCAAAUAAAACCUUAAAGGAAAGUGUGCAAACACGUCUCAAAUCCUAAGAACAUUCUUUGUUCUUUGCCUCCAUAUUCUUAUAAUUCACCAACAAUAUAUCCGAAACGAACUUUAUGUUUUUUCAUUCUGUAUGAACAUUAAAUUCUUGGAUCUUCUGGUAUAUUUGGUGGCCUUGCCCCUUGUGGGAGAGAAUCAAAGAACUAAAAGUUGAAUGGUUCGUGUAGUUAGUUUAGUUAUAUUAUGUGAAAUAAACUUAAAAAAGGAAAUAGAAGACGAAGACACCAGUUUUAAGUCUUGAGAUCUUGACGUAUAGUUACGGCUCUUUGAUGAAUAAAAAAAUAGAUAAUUUAUAUUUUGUAUAAAUAAAAGAUAAAAUAAUAAGGAAUAUAAAGUAGAAGGGGGCAUUAAUAUUUUCUUAAAGUCUAGGAGUUGCCAGUUAUUAAUAUUUUUCUAAACUCUUACUUUUAUUUAAUACUUUAAAAAUAAAAAAAAAAUCCAAAAUUUUGGUCAACCCUAGGCAUAAGAGUAGUUACGCCACUGUCUAUAACCUUUGAUUCUUGUUUAGCGAAAGUAUUGGAUCUUGUUAACCAGUGCACACGUAGACACCUCUGGUUGCUAAGGGCCUUUUCGGUGCUGUUUUAUCGAGGCCAUUUUCAUUUUCAUUUUUAAAAUAUAGUUGGACUAUGGCAACUGUUUUAAGACAAACAUACCCAUAAAAUGAAAAAUACAAGCUCCACAAAUUGGUCAUGGAAUAAGAAACGACUUUUACACGUUCUAUGCAUUUUACAAGUGGCCAAAACCCAUGUAGAUUCUACUGAUUUGUGUAUAUUUGUUUAGUUUAACCUAAAAAUAAUUUUUUAACAUAAAAAAAUUUGGAACCAAAAUAUUCUUUGAUCGGCAUAUAUUUUUUCAUCUACUUCAAAUAAAAUAUUCUUCGAUUGCUCCAUUUUGCUAAAUCUUGAUAAAUUGUUUGAUGUUGUCUGCGGAUGAUUUGUUUAUUCUUCAUAAAUAGUUUGAGUCAAAGUUACAAUUUUGACAAGGUUUCUAUCCUAGUUCAUCACAAGAUGCUUGAAGAAAUACAACUUCUCUUUUUAAUUUCAUUUCUUUCAUGUACUGCCCUGUAAUAAAAAGAAUUGAUAAUUAUUUUGU